GCUCGCGUAGCUUACCCAAAGCAUAACACUGAAGAUGUUAAGACGGACCCUAAGAAGUCCCGAGAGCA
rnacentral:tRNA from 1 species